rnacentral:tRNA from 2 species
GUUCAACUCCUUCCCUCACUA